UGGGGAAUAUUGGGCAAUGGGGGAAACCCUGACCCAGCAACGCCGCGUGAAGGAAGAAGGCCCUCGGGUUGUAAACUUCUUUUACCAGGGACGAAGGACGUGACGGUACCUGGAGAAAAAGCAACGGCUAACUACGUGCCAGCAGCCGCGGUAAUACGUAGGUUGCAAGCGUUGUCCGGAUUUACUGGGUGUAAAGGGCGUGUAGGCGGGAAUGCAAGUCAGAUGUGAAAUCCAUGGGCUUAACCCAUGAACUGCAUUUGAAACUGUAUUUCUUGAGUACUGGAGAGGCAAUCGGAAUUCCUAGUGUAGCGGUGAAAUGCGUAGAUAUUAGGAGGAACACCAGUGGCGAAGGCGGAUUGCUGGACAGCAACUGACGGUGAGGCGCGAAAGUGUGGGGAGCAAACAGGAUUAGAUACCCUGGUAGU
rnacentral:rRNA from 1 species